rnacentral:rRNA from 1 species
UACGGAGGGUGCAAGCGUUAUCCGGAUUCACUGGGUUUAAAGGGUGCGUAGGUGGGCUAGUAAGUCCGUGGUGAAAUCUCCAAGCUUAACUUGGAAACUGCCGUGGAUACUAUUAGUCUUGAAUAUCGUGGAGGUAAGCGGAAUAUGUCAUGUAGCGGUGAAAUGCUUAGAUAUGACAUAGAACACCGAUAGCGAAGGCAGCUUGCUACACAAUUAUUGACACUGAGGCACGAAAGCGUGGGGAUCAAACAGG